AUCUCAAAAUAAUGCAUUACGUCUUAUUUUGGGGAAAAUACAGUACUAAAUGUGUCUGGCUGGCUGACGAUCCUAACUGGGGCUUAUUUUA